rnacentral:rRNA from 1 species
GGAGCACGAGGGAGCCGUGGUGACUUUUUCUUUCUGGACACGAGGGAGCCGGCUGCGGCGGUAGCCCUCUGCCGGCCGCUCGUAUGGGUAGUGUCAGGGGAGGGGACGGGGCUGCGGUGCGCGCCAACGGCCACUCUGACCCCUAGAUCGCGGGAGUGGCGGUGGUCGAGACGCGACGACAACUAGCCGUGGUGCGUGUGCGUCUAGAGUAUGGGGUAGAGGUGGCGAAGACCUCUACCCCAAGCUGCGGAAGCGCCGUCGCACAACACGAUAAGGUCAUGAGCAUAGGCAAGAGCGGCAGGCGCAGCGGAUGCACGAAACGGCGUCGCCGGAUGGCGGCAGCUCCAGAGCACGGAGGCCCGACGCCACAGAGUAGCAGGAGCCCAGACCUCCCGUAUGACGUCUCUACUACUUAUAACAUAGACUCGAAGUCUUCCUAGCGAAAUGCGGAUCCAUGAUACACCGACGUGAAUGACUAUUGUACUCGGAAGGUUUCCGUGUCCAGAUACUCUUCAGUAACUAAGUACACCUCCCACUAUCUCUUUACUAGUAGCUCUUGCGGGUCAAGUACGUCUAUAUAGCAUCGGCACUUCACCCGGUUAGGAUGUAAUGGAGGUAGCGUUGUUGUGACGCACGAUGAAACGUACGAUACACCGAUUAUUAUUCUUAGUCUGGUGUUCACUAUAAAACGUUACCAGGGCCCUGUACGUAGGGAGAUACACGAAGUCGAAAAGAAGACUUCCACGAACCAGACCCUACCAGGAGGUAAAAGAUGUAACUUUCAUAGCGUUCUCACUUCUUCGAAAGCAAUUCACCAAAUGACAACAUGUUCGAUGCCUACCGGUUAGUCAAGAAGCACGUCACCGGGGUCGACGUUGUUUUUAUGGGAUCUCGUGUUAUACGACCGGCAAACUACACUACUAAGUGGGAAUUUACUAUAAACCCUGUGGUAGCAAAGGUUGAGACUUCUAGAACUUGUACGACUCCACGUCAACUUAUGAACUUAACUGUGUGGGAUGUGCGGACAAAGCGGUCUUUGAAAAAAUGAACAACCAUAUCCGAACGUGGAAAGAAUCCUAUAUAUAUAUACAUAUGAGUAGUUUUAACAGAAAGUUCCGACUGGAUAACCGACCCCUUACCUUACAAGGGAGAGUCUAUCAGUCUAUAUGGAACAUCCGACACUGAGACGUCUCAGUUCACAUUUGGAGUAGGACCCUUCUUAACGACAUUAGACUUCCUAUUAU